UGGUGGGUCACGUGACCGAUAGCAUUUCUAAAAUUGAUUUUUACCUACUCCAAUCUGCACUAGGCAGAAUUGAUUUUAUUGAAGCAAAAGAAGAACCCUUUCUUCCGUUGUCGGUUCCUAUUCUGUUGCUAACUACCCUCGUUGAAGAAGAACCCGUUGCAAACCAUUGAAGAACCUAUUGAAGAGAACUCGUGUUCACUGUUCCGCUGAUCUCUCUCUCCCUCUCUGUGCGUGUUGUAAGCAGUUGGUUGCCAUUGGAUUUUUAAGUAACACUAACAGAAACUCAUUGCUAUGUUUUGAUUAGUUAAAUUUAUUUAUUCGCAUUUGGGUUUCUUCUUAUUAGUUGUAUGCCCACGACAUAUUUGUUAAAAUGCCUUAUUAGGUAUUUAAACCUUUAAUUAGAGUGUUUAGCUAAAGCUUUUGAUUUUAAUCGUUCUUAAUUCCAAUUCCAAAGCCCCAAUUCAUUGCAUUCGAACAACAUCUGCAAUCUGUUGGAUAAUUUUGCUUUGCUUAAUUGCUUUUAUAUUGUAUCUCAUUAUCUGAAAUUUGAAAAUAUAUUUAUGAUUUGUGAUUUUUGAUUUGUUAUGGAUCAUCAACGUGAUUUGUUGAAUUAUGAUUCGUGAUUCGUGAGAUUUUAUUUGGGAACUUCAUAAAAAAUUCAAAAUAGGGGCAGCAAUAUUUGAUAGGUUUUCUGGCAUUUAUUGUCAUUUGAAGAAAAAUCUUGGGUUAUGAAAGCUUCUAAUAUGUAUCAGAAAUGGUAAUUGGAUAAUUGAAGUCUUGCUUUUUUAUUGUUUUAUUGAGUGUUAGGAGAUAAAUGUGGAGCUUAAUAUUUAUGUACAGCAUAAUUUGGAAAGUAAUUUUGUAGGUUUUUCUUUGAAUAUGUGAGAAAGAUGAGAGCUUGGAAUAUGCACAAAUUGUUUUGAUUAUGGUGUGGGGGAGAGAUAAAUAUCUUCCAUGUUUUGAGGAGUUUUUAAACCAUUUUUAUGAGUUUUUCAAAUAUAUAAUAAGGUUUGAAUGAGUUUUAGCAAAUGAUAGUAUUAUAUUAUUUAAUACUAUUUUUAAUGAUAUGUGUUGGGCAGUGGAUCCUCAAACUUCUGCAUUUUGCUCUUGGAAUCCAACUUGUUGUAGUCGGCACCAACACUAAGUAUGUUUCUACACAAGAGGCUCCAGUUACUCUUGAGUUUUCUGUUGAAAUUGUCAUAGUUGAGGGAAUCUUCCUUUUUUUUUUUUUUUGGUCAUCUCUACUUAAAAAGGUUGAACCCCAACCUUAGGGGCCCCACCUUGCCCUGAGCCAUCGUGGAGGAGGUAAAUCGCAGGAUGUGCCUCCCAGGAGCCAGGAUGGAGAGCAUAUGGAUAGGCCAAGGCUGUUAACCCAUAUGGUAACUCCCGCUUACAACAAAGUCAAUUCCACAUUGCGAUAUGUAGCUAAAAAUUGACUCAUAUUUAUCUUAUAAAUUUGGCAUUUUGCAAAUUUGAUUGUACUCUACUAACUUAAAAUGUUUAC
rnacentral:lncRNA from 1 species